rnacentral:rRNA from 1 species
GACGAAGGGGGCUAGCGUUGUUCGGAAUUACUGGGCGUAAAGCGAGUGUAGGCGGUUGCCCAAGUCAGGUGUGAAAGCCUUGAGCUCAACUCAAGAAAUGCACUUGGUACUGGGUGGCUAGAGGACCGGAGAGGAUAGUGGAAUUCCCAGUGUAGUGGUGAAAUACGUAGAGAUUGGGAAGAACACCAGUGGCGAAGGCGGCUAUCUGGACGGUUACUGACGCUAUGACUCGAAAGCGUGGGGAGCAAACAGG